rnacentral:rRNA from 1 species
GAUGAACGCUGGCGGCGUGCCUAACACAUGCAAGUCGAGCGAAACGGUUAAAUUAGUUUUCUUCGGACGGGCGAUUUUUGUGACUGAAAGGCGGACGGAUGCGUCACGCGUGUGUAAGCUGCCUCAUACAGAGGGGGGACAGUUCGAAAUGACUGCUCCUGCUGCAUAGGAGCCCAGCGUCACUUGCAGCGGUUGGAAAAGGUCCGGCGGUAUGUGAUGUACUCGGGUCGGAUUAGCUAGUUGGUAAGGUUGUGGCGUACCAAGGCGACGAUCAGUAGCCGAGCGGGUAGGGGGACAGGCCAGAAUGGGGCUGAGACACGGACCAGACCCCGACGGGAGGGAGGAGUGGGUAAUAUUGCACAAUGGGGGAAACCCUGAUGCAGCCGCGCGGCGUGAAGGAUGAAGUAGUUCGGAAUGUAAACUUGCAUGAGCAGGGGAGAGAGUGACGGUACCGGACUAAGAAGCCCCGGCUAACUACGUG